GAGAGCCGUGUGAGGUGAAAGUCUCAUGCACGGUUCGGAAUGGGAGUCGUGGUAGGUGACUACCACUUCGACCCCUAAUCUCAUCUCGGUUAUCGGAAAUAAUUAUUUACAUUAU
rnacentral:ncRNA from 1 species